UAGUACUGGAAAUGAAUGAGGAAAAAAAAAAAAGAAAAGAAAAAUGAUUUAUUUAUUUUAAAAAAAUGAGAAAGAGUUGAAUUCUCCACCAACUUUGUUCUCGUCGAGUAAGUGAANNNNNNNNNNCCUCAUUCUCUCAACGGAUUUUCCAAAGCCUCUCUAUCUCUAACCAAAGAAUAAAUAAAACCACAACCCAAAGCAAGCUGAGUAGGCAAUCACUGCCAGACGACGAAGG
rnacentral:misc_RNA from 1 species